rnacentral:rRNA from 1 species
AGGCCUAACACAUGCAAGUCGAGCGGUAGCACAGAGAGCUUGCUCUCGGGUGACGAGCGGCGGACGGGUGAGUAAUGUCUGGGAAACUGCCUGAUGGAGGGGGAUAACUACUGGAAACGGUAGCUAAUACCGCAUAACGUCGCAAGACCAAAGUGGGGGACCUUCGGGCCUCAUGCCAUCAGAUGUGCCCAGAUGGGAUUAGCUAGUAGGUGGGGUAAUGGCUCACCUAGGCGACGAUCCCUAGCUGGUCUGAGAGGAUGACCAGCCACACUGGAACUGAGACGCGGUCCAGACUCCUACGGGAGGCAGCAGUGGGGAAUAUUGCACAAUGGGCGCAAGCCUGAUGCAGCCAUGCCGCGUGUAUGAAGAAGGCCUUCGGGUUGUAAAGUACUUUCAGCGAGGAGGAAGGCAUUAAGGUUAAUAACCUUAGUGAUUGACGUUACUCGCAGAAGAAGCACCGGCUAACUCCGUGCCAGCAGCCGCGGUAAUACGGAGGGUGCAAGCGUUAAUCGGAAUUACUGGGCGUAAAGCGCACGCAGGCGGUCUGUUUAGUCAGAUGUGAAAUCCCCCGGGCUCAACCUGGGAACUGCAUUUGAAACUGGCAGGCUUGAGUCUUGUAGAGGGGGGUAGAAUUUCCAGUGUAGCGGUGAAAUGCGUAGAGAUCUGGAGGAAUACCGGUGGCGAAGGCGGCCCCCUGGACAAAGACUGACGCUCAGGUGCGAAAGCGUGGGGAGCAAACAGGAUUAGAUACCCUGGUAGUCCACGCUGUAAACGAUGUCGACUUGGAGGUUGUUCCCUUGAGGAGUGGCUUCCGGAGCUAACGCGUUAAGUCGACCGCCUGGGGAGUACGGCCGCAAGGUUAGAACUCAAAUGAAUUGACGGGGGCCCGCACAAGCGGUGGAGCAUGUGGUUUAAUUCGAUGCAACGCGAAGAACCUUACCUACUCUUGACAUCCAGAGAACUUAGCAGAGAUGCUUUGGUGCCUUCGGGAACUCUGAGACAGGUGCUGCAUGGCUGUCGUCAGCUCGUGUUGUGAAAUGUUGGGUUAAGUCCCGCAACGAGCGCAACCCUUAUCCUUUGUUGCCAGCGAUUCGGUCGGGAACUCAAAGGAGACUGCCAGUGAUAAACUGGAGGAAGGUGGGGAUAACGUCAAGUCAUCAUGGCCCUUACGAGUAGGGCUACACACGUGCUACAAUGGCAUAUACAAAGAGAAGCGACCUCGCGAGAGCAAGCGGACCUCAUAAAGUAUGUCGUAGUCCGGAUUGGAGUCUGCAACUCGACUCCAUGAAGUCGGAAUCGCUAGUAAUCGUAGAUCAGAAUGCUACGGUGAAUACGUUCCCGGGCCUUGCACUCACCGCCCGUCA